rnacentral:rRNA from 1 species
UGGGGAAUUUUGGACAAUGGGCGCGAGCCUGAUCCAGCAAUGCCGCGUGCAGGAUGAAGGCCUUCGGGUUGUAAACUGCUUUUGUACGGAGCGAAAAGGUCUGCCCUAAUACGGUGGGCUCAUGACGGUACCGUAAGAAUAAGCACCGGCUAACUACGUGCCAGCAGCCGCGCUAAUACGUAGGGUGCGAGCGUUAAUCGGAAUUACUGGGCGUAAAGCGUGCGCAGGCGGUUAUAUAAGACAGAGGUGAAAUCCCCGGGCUCAACCUGGGAACUGCCUUUGUGACUGCAUAGCUAGAGUACGGUAGAGGGGGAUGGAAUUCCGCGUGUAGCAGUGAAAUGCGUAGAUAUGCGGAGGAACACCGAUGGCGAAGGCAAUCCCCUGGACCUGUACUGACGCUCAUGCACGAAAGCGUGGGGAGCAAACA